rnacentral:lncRNA from 1 species
UGGCCCGAGACCACAAUUAAUUCUUCUAUCAUUUCUUUACAACGUUUUGUCGCAUUAAAAAAAAUUGAAUUGUUCUUUUUGUCUAAUUUUUUGUGUGAGUAAUGUACAGUUCAAGUCCCAAACCAUAUGCAAUUUUCAGAAAAAUUGCAUGUUUACAUCAUACAAAUUUGGCCAAUACACAUCCAUACCCCUAUAGGCAAGUCAAGAGAUGUUCCGAAAAGUGUAAAUAUAACCUUUUUGCACCUGGCCUAAUCACUCUUUCCUUAUUAAAAUCAGUUAAAAUAAAACAUCCAAAAGUUUAUUUCAGCUCUCUUCUUUCAUUCCCACCCCAGAAAAGCUAAGAAAUGAAUGAGAAAGGGAAAGAAAAAAAAUAAAGAAAAAAUACACUAUAAUUAAAGGGAACUAUAUUCGUGAACAACGAAAAGCGGGGUCAUUAAUUGUGGUCUUGGGCCUAUUAGGGGCCAAAAACUUGACCAAUUCCAAUAAAACUUGGCAUGAUUUAAGCUUAGUGUUUUAUGAGUCAGUUUACAAAGUUUCAUAGCCAUAUGAUAUAUAUUUUAGAAAAUGUGAUAUUUUUUAUAUCUCAACUUUGGUUGCUGAAUUAUGACGUAUAGAUAGAAAAAUUUCAACUUUCAAAUUUUGGCUUCAAAAAUCCCCCCAAAACACCA